rnacentral:tRNA from 1 species
AGGGGUUUAGCUUAGUGGUAUAAGUGCCUGCCUGGCAAGCAUGAGGUCAUGAAUCCCUG